rnacentral:tRNA from 1 species
CUGCUCGUAGCUCACUUGGAAGAGCGCGAUCCUCCGAAGAUCGAGGUAGAGAGUUCGAGUCUCUCCGAGCGGG